rnacentral:rRNA from 1 species
CAUCAUUUGACGUUAGCAACAGAAGAAGCACCGGCUAACUCCGUGCCAGCAGCCGCGGUAAUACGGAGGGUGCGAGCGUUAAUCGGAAUUACUGGGCGUAAAGCGCAUGCAGGUGGUUUGUUAAGUCAGAUGUGAAAGACCCGGGGCGUCAACCUCGGAACUGCAUUUGAAACUGGCAGACUAGAGUACUGUAGAGGGGGGUAGGAAUUUCAGGUGUAGCGGUGAAAUGCGUAGAGAUCUGAAGGAAUACCGGUGGCGAAGGCGGCCCCCUGGACAGAUACUGACACUCAGAUGCGAAAGCGUGGGGAGCAAACAGGAUUAGAUACCCUGGUAG